rnacentral:precursor_RNA from 9 species
AGAUGGGAGAGGACGUUACCCGCUGAAUGCACCCUGUAGUUUCGGGUUUGUGUUUACAUUGGGGUACAGAAGCUCGAUUCUACAGGUUCAUUUGAAGGGGACAAACACCAUACCAGAG